CGGAGAAUUACCACCUUACCCCACCCCCUUUACGAAGCCGACGAGUUUCGUGAUCCUAUCUAUGAAUCCGAACCUAGUAACAUUGAUGUCCAAGCAAAAUUGAGAACACACCUAAUACAACACUUUUGGAAACGUUGGCGUCAAGAAUAUCUGACGAGCUUACGGGAAUUUCAUAAAACCACUGGAAACAAUUCAACCGAGAUACGUGUUGGUGAUGUCGUUCAAGUACACGAUGACAUGAAACGUGUUAACUGGAGACUUGCUGUUGUACAAAGUUUAAUCAAGGGAAAAGACGGACUAGUACGGGCAGCAAAUAUCAAAACAAGUACUGGACAUACGAACAGACCAGUAACUAAACUUUACCCACUCGAAGUUAAAUCCACAACAACAGAGAACCCAAAGAUCACCAUUGACGAAAACCUAGACGCAAAGAAUCCCUCAACAAAUCCUCACCCAGCUGACGUCAUAGAUCAAACGUCAAGCAGACCUGUUCGAGCAACAGCACGAUUGGCAAAGGAGAAAUUGAAGCAGUGGACAUCCAUAUUCUCGCGCCCUCCGGAGGAUGUCGAGAAUUGACAGUACUUUGAACAUUAUAGAUAUCUUGCACGCAUUCUAAUAUAAACAGUUCAUUAUUAAUAUCUUAUAUCGAACACGGUUAGUUAAUUGAACUAGGAUAGAAUUACACUUGCACUAGGAUAACUGGGACAUUCAGGAUAAUUUGAUAAUCACCUUUUGUUGUAUAUAGUUUUCGCACUGGCUUUUGAGCUUGUGUUAGUGUAAAUAAUACAUAUUCAAACUAUGGUGUAGAUCGUCCUUGAUUCUAUCGAAAGAACCUACGCUACAUUAGAUCUCGUUAUCGUCGUAGACAAGUUAACACAACGCAAGACAACUCUAUAGCUUAUUUCGAGUGACGAACGAGACAGU